CCACCGCACCUCUUUCAAAACCGUGUCACCGUUGCACCUUCGCCAAUCCUUUGCGACCACCGCACCUCCGUCAAACCCGCGCCACCACUGCCCCUCCGUCAGUCCUUUGCAACCACCGUCGACCUUCAUCGAUCUGUUCGUGUUUGGUAGUUACAACGCUUUCUAAUGGUGGAUGGUGGUUUCUGGUAGGUAUGUUACGGACUUUUGCUUGGACGUUGAUGGGUGGUUAUGGUGUUUUGCUAUAGAAGACGAAGGUUAGGGGAGAUGAUGUCGCGCGCGACGGUGGCGCUGGUUGCGCGGUGCUGACGCUGGCAGCACGAUUUUUUGGUGAGGGCAUUUGGUUUGGGUCUGAGUGUCGCGCCGUUAUGGAGUGGUGGAUUCGGAAUUCUGUGCCGACGUGGUUCGUGGUGGUUGGUGGCGGUGAUGUGCGCGCUAGAGAAAGGUGACUUUUUUUCCUGAUUUGAGAAAUGUGUUUGUGGUUUCAAGAUUUGAAAAGAGAGGGAUCGUCGUAGACGGCGGUUUCAGUGUCGUUACGGCGUCGGCGGAAGUUGGCUCUCGGUGGUCGACGCAUUGACGGCAACAACACGGUGUGGUUGCUUCUGGUGGGUGUGGGAGAUGGUGUCAUGGGGACAAAGUGGGAAAAGGAGGUAAAAAAUAAAACGAAAAAAGAAAAAACUGAAAAAAUGUUAAGCCUUCGAUUAAGAAAAAGUUUAAUUUUUGCAAGAUAGAAUUUGUCAUGAUAGAGAUCUGGCAAAAAUAAAGUUCAAACGAAAGUUUGUUAUACUUAAAUGUCCCACGUUAUGAGAAUGGAUUGUCUACCAUGUUAUUUAGGUGAAA